rnacentral:rRNA from 1 species
GACGAACGCUGGCGGCGUGCCUAAUACAUGCAAGUAGAACGCUGAAGAGAGGAGCUUGCUCUUCUUGGAUGAGUUGCGAACGGGUGAGUAACGCGUAGGUAACCUGCCUUGUAGCGGGGGAUAACUAUUGGAAACGAUAGCUAAUACCGCAUAACAAUGGAUGACCCAUGUCAUUUAUUUGAAAGGGGCAAAUGCUCCACUACAAGAUGGACCUGCGUUGUAUUAGCUAGUAGGUGAGGUAACGGCUCACCUAGGCGACGAUACAUAGCCGACCUGAGAGGGUGGUCGGCCACACUGGGACUGGGACACGGCCCAGACUCCUACGGGAGGCAGCAGUAGGGAAUCUUCGGCAAUGGGGGCAACCCUGACCGAGCAACGCCGCGGGGGUGAAGAAGGUUUUCGGAUCGUAAAGCUCUGUUGUAAGUCAAGGACGAGUGUGAGAGUGGAAAGUUCACGCUGUGACGGUAGCUUACCAGAAAGGGACGGCUAACUACGUG